rnacentral:rRNA from 1 species
GCAUAAUAACUUGCCUUCUAAUUAGAGGCUAGAAUGAACGGACUUACGAGAGUAUACCUGUCUCCUACAAAACAAUAAAACCUAAACCUCAGGUGAAGAUGCCUGAAUUCUACUAAAGGACAAAAAGACCCUGUUGAGCUUAACUUACAACAAAUAAACCAAUUUACUAAAGUUUAGUUGGGGCGACUUAGGAAAAAAAGAAUCUUCCUCUAAACAAAGACCCAUUCGUCUUCUAAAUGACCUGUCAAAACAAUCCACAGAAAAGCUACCACAGGGAUAACAGAUCAAUUCUCCUUAAGAGCCCAAAUUGACAGGAGAGAUUGACACCUCGAUGUUGGCUUGAGAUCUUCCUCUAUGUGCAGCAGCAUAAUAGGUAGGUUUGUUCAACCUUUAAAAUCUC